UACGGGGGGAGCAAGCGUUUGUCCGGAAUUAUUGGGCGUAAAGAGCUCGUAGGCGGUCUGUCGCGCGAUCGUGAAAACUUGGGGCUUAACCCUGAGCUUGCGGUCGAUACGGGCAUGACUGGAGUUCGGCAGGGGGAGACUGGAAUUCCCUGGUGUAGCGGUGAAAUGCGCAGAUAUCAGGAGGAACACCCGUGGCGAAAGGCGGGCUCUGGCGG
rnacentral:rRNA from 1 species